GAUGAACGCUAGCUACAGGCUUAACACAUGCAAGUCGAGGGGCAGCGGGAUUGAAGCUUGCUUCAAUUGCCGGCGACCGGCGCACGGGUGAGUAACGCGUAUCCAACCUUCCGUACACUCAGGGAUAGCCUUUCGAAAGAAAGAUUAAUACCUGAUGGUAUGAUGAGAUCGCAUGGUAUCAUCAUUAAAGAUUUAUCGGUGUACGAUGGGGAUGCGUUCCAUUAGGUAGUAGGCGGGGUAACGGCCCACCUAGCCUACGAUGGAUAGGGGUUCUGAGAGGAAGGUCCCCCACAUUGGAACUGAGACACGGUCCAAACUCCUACGGGAGGCAGCAGUGAGGAAUAUUGGUCAAUGGACGAGAGUCUGAACCAGCCAAGUAGCGUGCAGGAUGACGGCCCUAUGGGUUGUAAACUGCUUUUAUAAGGGUAAUAAAGUAGAGUCUCGUGAGACUUUUUGCAUGUACCUUAUGAAUAAGACGCUAAUUCCGUGCCAGC
rnacentral:rRNA from 1 species